AAGUCGAACGGAGCUGAGAGGAGCUUGCUUUCUUAGCUUAGUGGCGAACGGGUGAGUAACGCGUGAGUAACCUGCCCUGGAGUGGGGGACAACAGUUGGAAACGACUGCUAAUACCGCAUAAGCCCACGGCCCGGCAUCGGGCUGAGGGAAAAGGAUUUAUUCGCUUCAGGAUGGACUCGCGUCCAAUUAGCUAGUUGGUGAGGUAACAGCCCACCAAGGCGACGAUUGGUAGCCGGACUGAGAGGAAGGUCCCCACAUUGGAACUGAGACACGGUCCAAACUCC
rnacentral:rRNA from 1 species